rnacentral:rRNA from 1 species
AGAGUUUGAUCCUGGCUCAGAACGUACGCUGGCGGCACGCCUAACACAUGCAAGUCGAACGAAGUAGCAAUACUUAGUGGCAGACGGGUGAGUAACAUGUAGGUAUCUUCCCUUUGGCCUGGAAUAACACGAGGAAACUUGUGCUAAUACUGGAUAAGUCUUUACGGAGAAAGCUUUAUGCACCAUUGGAUGAGCCUGCACUUGAUUAGUUUGUUGGUGGGGUAAUGGCCUACCAAGACUUUGAUCAAUAGCUGAUUUGAGAGGAUGAUCAGCCACAUUGGGACUGAGACACGGCCCAAACUCCUACGGGAGGCAGCAGUGGGGAAUAUUGCACAAUGGAGGAAACUCUGAUGCAGCGAUGCCGCGUGAGUGAAGAAGGCCUUUGGGUUGUAAAGCUCUUUCGUCGGGGAAGAAAAUGACUGUACCCGAAUAAGAAGGUCCGGCUAACUUCGUGCCAGCAGCCGCGGUAAUACGAAGGGACCUAGCGUAGUUCGGAAUUACUGGGCUUAAAGAGUUCGUAGGUGGUUGAAAAAGUUGGUGGUGAAAUCCCAGAGCUUAACUCUGGAACUGCCAUCAAAACUUUUCAGCUAGAGUAUGAUAGAGGAAAGCAGAAUUUCUAGUGUAGAGGUGAAAUUCGUAGAUAUUAGAAAGAAUACCAAUUGCGAAGGCAGCUUUCUGGAUCAUUACUGACACUGAGGAACGAAAGCAUGGGUAGCGAAGAGGAUUAGAUACCCUCGUAGUCCAUGCCGUAAACGAUGUGUGUUAGACGUUGGAAAUUUAUUUUCAGUGUCGCAGCGAAAGCGAUAAACACACCGCCUGGGGAGUACGACCGCAAGGUUAAAACUCAAAUGAAUUGACGGGGACCCGCACAAGUAGUGGAGCAUGUGGUUUAAUUCGAAGAUACGCGCAGAACCUUACCAACACUUGACAUGUUCGUCGCGACUUUAAGAGAUUAAAGUUUUCGGUUCGGCCGGACGAAACACAGGUGCUGCAUGGCUGUCGUCAGCUCGUGUCGUGAGAUGUUGGGUUAAGUCCCGCAACGAGCGCAACCCUCACUUUUAGUUGCCAUCAUUUAGUUGGGCACUCUGAAAGAACUGCCAGUGAUAAGCUGGAGGAAGGUGGGGAUGACGUCAAGUCCUCAUGGCCCUUACGUGUUGGGCUACACACGUGCUACAAUGGUAUCUACAACAGGAAGCAAAACUGCGAAGUUAAGCAAAUCCUUAAAAGAUACCUCAGUUCGGAUUGCACUCUGCAACUCGAGUGCAUGAAGCUGGAAUUACUAGUAAUCGUGGAUCAGCGUGCCACGGUGAAUGCGUUCCCGGGUCUUGUACACACCGCCCGUCACACCAUGGGAGUUGGUUCUACCUUAAGGCAAGGUUUAAUACCCUUGACCACGGUAUAGUCAGCGACUGGGGUGAAGUCGUAACAAGGUAGCCGUA